GACGAACGCUGGCGGCGUGCUUAACACAUGCAAGUCGAACGAUGAAGCCGGAGCUUGCUCUGGUGAAUUAGUGGCGAACGGGUGAGUAACACGUGAGUAACCUGCCCUUGACUCUGGGAUAACUGCGGGAAACUGGAGCUAAUACAGGAGACGACCCUCGGAGGCAUCUCCUGGGGGUGGGAAGAAUUUCGGUCAAGGAUGGACUCGCGGCCUAUCUGCUAGUUGGUGAAGGAAAGGCUCACCAAGGCGACGACGGGUAGCCGGCCUGAGAGGGUGACCGGCCACACUGGGACUGAGACACGGCCGAGACUCCUACGGGAGGCAGCAGUGGGGAAUAUUGCACAAUGGGCGCAAGCCUGAUGCAGCAACGCCGCGUGAGGGAUGACGGCCUUCGGGUUGUAAACCUCUUUUAGCAGGGAAGAAGCGAAAGUGACGGUACCUGCAGAAAAAGCACCGGCUAACUACGUGCCAGCCGCCGCUGUAA
rnacentral:rRNA from 1 species